rnacentral:rRNA from 1 species
GCAGUCGAGGGGUAUAUUUCUUCGGAGAUAGAGACCGGCGCACGGGUGCGUAACGCGUAUGCAAUCUACCUUUUACAGAGGGAUAGCCCAGGGAAAUUUGGAUUAAUACCUCAUAGUAUAGCUCUACCGCAUGGUAGUACUAUUAAAGUCACAACGGUAAAAGAUGAGCAUGCGUCCCAUUAGCUGGUUGGUAAGGUAACGGCUUACCAAGGCUACGAUGGGUAGGGGUCCUGAGAGGGAGAUCCCCCACACUGGUACUGAGACACGGACCAGACUCCUACGGGAGGCAGCAGUGAGGAAUAUUGGACAAUGGGCGCAAGCCUGAUCCAGCCAUGCCGCGUGCAGGAUGACGGUCCUACGGAUUGUAAACUGCUUUUAUACGAGAAGAAACACUGCUUCGUGAAGCAGCUUGACGGUAUCGUAAGAAUAAGGAUCGGCUAACUCCGUGCCAGCAGCCGCGGUAAUACGGAGGAUCCAAGCGUUAUCCGGAAUCAUUGGGUUUAAAGGGUCCGUAGGCGGUUUAAUAAGUCAGUGGUGAAAGCCCAUCGCUCAACGGUGGAACGGCCAUUGAUACUGUUAAACUUGAAUUAUUAGGAAGUAACUAGAAUAUGUAGUGUAGCGGUGAAAUGCUUAGAGAUUACAUGGAAUACCAAUUGCGAAGGCAGGUUACUACUAAUGGAUUGACGCUGAUGGACGAAAGCGUGGGUAGCGAACAGGAUUAGAUACCCUGGUAGUCCACGCCGUAAACGAUGGAUACUAGCUGUUGGAAGCAAUUUCAGUGGCUAAGCGAAAGUGAU